rnacentral:rRNA from 1 species
UGCAGCGACCAUUCCAUUUUGGAAACACCGGUUCUCAUCUGAUCGCCGAAUUUAAGCAACAUUGGGUGACCGGCUAGUACGUAGUUCGAAAUCAACCCUGGAAUCCUGACUGCUGCUGUCU